rnacentral:tRNA from 1 species
GGUGGCUCAAUGGGAUAGAGUAUUUGCCUUGCAUGCAUGAGGUCCUAGGUUCAAUUCCUUGCACCA